AAUGAACGCUGGCGGCGCGCCUAAUACAUGCAAGUCGAGCGAGAAGACGUAGCAAUACGUUUGUAAAGCGGCGAACGGGUGAGGAAUACAUGGGUAACCUACCCUCGAGUGGGGAAUAACUAGCCGAAAGGUUAGCUAAUACCGCGUACGCUCCUUGGACUUCGGUUCAGGGAGGAAAGCGAUACCGUGGGUAUCGCGCUCUUGGUUGGGCUCAUGUCCUAUCAGCUUGUUGGUGAGGUAACGGCUCACCAAGGCUUCGACGGGUAGCUGGUCUGAGAGGACGAUCAGCCACACUGGCACUGCGACACGGGCCAGACUCCUACGGGAGGCAGCAGUAAGGAAUAUUGCGCAA
rnacentral:rRNA from 1 species